rnacentral:snRNA from 1 species
GUGCGCUCUUCGGCAGCACAUAUGCUAGAAUUGGAACAAUACAGAGAAGAUUAGCACGGGCCUUGUGCAAGGAGGACACGCAAAUUCGUGAAGUGGUCCAUAUUUUU